rnacentral:rRNA from 1 species
UAAGAUAUUUAAAUAUUAUAUCCCGAAAGCAUAAGAUCUAAGUUAUAUAUAAAAUUUUAGAAUUAAAUUAACGUGCUGUAGCAUAAGUACACAAUAAAUAAUAAUUUAGUGGUGAAACGCCUUCAAUUAUGUUGAUAGCUGGAUAACUAUUAAAUAUAUUAAGUUUAUUAGUAAAGUUAUAAAGUGAUAAGAUUUUAUAAUUAGAAUUUAAUGUAUAUUUUAGAAGUACUUUUAAUUAAUUCUUAUUAGUGUUUUUUUAAAGUAAAAUAAUUUUACAUAAGCAUAUUCUAUAAUAGUAGUUUAAUUUGUUAAAUUAAUAACAAUUUUGAUAAUGUAUAAAUAAGUAUUUAAUAUAAAUUUAAUUAAAUUAACUCGGCAAAUAUAAUAUACGACUGUUUAACAAAAACAUAGCCGGUAGUUAUUUUAUUAUCGGUGUGACCUGCCCGGUGACUAUUUAACGGCCGCAGUACUAUGACUGUGCAAAGGUAGCAUAAUCAUUUGACUUUUAAUUGGAGUCUAGUAUGAAAGGAAAAACGUAUAUUACCUGUAUCUAGUAAUAAACUUACAUAAAUUAUUUAUAGGGUGAAAAUACCCUACAUAUGAAAAAUAGACGAGAAGACCCUUAGAAUUUUAAGUAAACUUGUAGCAAAUAUAGGAUGAUUUUUGUUGGGGCAACAGUUUUUCAUAUUAAUAAAAAAUAAAUAAUAUAACAUAACGAAAAAUAAUUAAGAAAAAAUUACCUUAGGGAUAACAGCAUAAUUUUUAAUAAAGAUUGUGACCUCGAUGUUGGACUAGGAACUAUUAAGGCUAGUCGAUUUAAUAAAAUAAGUUCUGUUCGAACUUUGUUUCCUA